rnacentral:lncRNA from 1 species
UUAUCGGCCUGUCUAGGUUGUUAGAUUGGUAUACUUUGUGAGAAGAUUGCCUUAGUUUACCUUAUCGAAUCGAAGCAGUGGCUUCUUCUUCUUCUUCUUCGUCACAUGACCUUGCUCAACGUCUUUAUGACAAGGUUGAAAUUCAAGUUAGGAAGAUUUACUUUGUAAAUAGGGCUGCAACUGUGCUUCCGAUAAACGUUGAGGAUGCUGCCAGAAGUGAAGUUGAAAUUGAGAAGGCUUUGUAGGUUUAAGGGUGUGAUGAUGACCUGGUAGUCAUCAGUUCGGUUCCUACUGCCUCCAUCAUCCGCUGAUUUCAUCUUCAUUCUGCUAUGUUCGUUUGUAUUCAUCUUGAUUCUGGUAUGUUCGGUUCCUAAUCGGACUCGAACGCCAAAUAAUCGCCUUUUUAACCCUAAUCGGACUCCAGUCGCCGUCCGCCGCUGGCCGCUGUUGUUGUUAUACAUUUGCGGUUGCCGCUUAUCAGCUCCAUCUUUAUAGGUUUAGCCUUUUUUUUACAUUUUUAUUACGUUUUACUUUCAUACCAGUCUUAUUGGUAACAUCGCAGGUGAAAUACGAAACUUUUGUUUUGGAGAUCAAAGGUUCAGUUUAAAAUUCAUAUUUAGAAUUGUUUGUAGUUUCUGAACCCAAAAUAUGGAUGCAUUGUUCCUCUGCUUCUGAUGAAUGAUGAUUGUACACACGAUCAGACUUUGAAGGUAACUUAAUUUUAUUUUUUUUUCGUUAUUCUGCAUAUACGUGUGUAAUAAAGCUGUGUUUUUUUCCUGUCAUAUAGCUUCUUUUGGUAUUCUUGUAUCUUUGAUUGACAUAAAAGAAUGGCUUUUAAAGUUGGUAUUAAUUUAAUUGAUAGUUUGGUUUAGUCGCCGAUAGUUUGGUUCAUUGCAGUUCCAUGAUGAUGGUGUUAUAAUGUGAUUGAUUUUUUUUUGCCUUAAUAAUUUGAAUGUGAAUUGAAGUGAUGAUCAUGAAUUAGCAUAUAAUGUGAUUGGUUGUGAAUGUUUAUGCAUCUAAUUAUUUCUUUUUUCAUGUUGUUGGAUGGAACUUGACUUUUAAUACAGCCAGACUAAACCCACAUGGCUCAGUCCUUUAUGGAACCAUCAAACCAAUAAAGACAAUCAUGUUGAGUAACUCGACUUAUCUAAUCAACACUAAGAAAUGUUACACCGUUAACGGCGUUUCGUACAUUAACGCAGGCACUCCUAAGUUUUUAUGAAGGUGAUAUUAUGUAUUGCAGUUGAACAAGCAUUAUGAAUGGGUUAUUGGAACUGGAGAAGGCAAAUUUGAUGUAUUAGAUCAUGAAAAUGUCGGAUUCAAGUCAAAGGUCUAGAUGAAGUUUUUCAGUGGUGAUGAUCAAAAGAAAUUGUCGAUGUGACUUCGUUUAUUAGGCGUCCGGCUUUGUAUAAAUAUAAGUGUAGUUACUGCUGCAGAUGCGACGGGGAUUAUGAGGAGGAAUCAGGAAUCAGAGCAUCUAAACAGAGGUAUUAAUAGCUGAAACAUCUGCUUGAAUCAAUCUUAACCCACUCGAACCCUAAAGUAAAUCGUCGUCCAGUCAUCCUGUAAGCUGCUGGUUAUCUGUUUUCAAUCCUUCUCACUUGCCAAUUAAGGUAACUAAGUUGUCCGCAUCUGAUAGUUUUUUUUUUCCGGAUAAAUCAUUGGAAUGGUUACUGAUCUAAAUAUACAAUUGCGACAUAGAUAGAUAACAUUAUCUACUUCGGGAUAAUAUAUAGACUUCUCAAUUCGUUGUAUUAUCAAAUAUAAAAGUAAAUGAUUAUAUAUAGUAAAAUGUUCCGUCAAUAUGUUUUAAAUAAUGAUUUUUAUUGACAAGUAAUACAAGAGAUACUAAGGGCAGGAAGUAUAUUAUGAGUUACAUAUAGAAAGGCAUUAGAAGAUGUAGAAUUGGAAGGCUUUGUGAUGCGUUCAUGUACAUGGCCAUUUGAUGAUCAUGGGCAAGUCAAAUGUUAAAGUUAUGAUAGUCAGUUUAUUAUAAUCAAGAGAAUAUUGUAGAAGUUGACUUUUUUCUUAAGCAAAACAGAAAGUCAAAGGUAAGUGGAGUAAGAAGUAAGAACUAUUGGGUUGAGGGUGAACUCUACAAAAUCAAUGAUCGGCCACCUCAUGGAAGUCGCUGAUGCUGUGGAAGCUAUCGCAACAAUACAAGUAAUGCAAUGAAGUAAUUUGCUGUUUUGUUUUACUUAGACAUUUGUUUUGAAUCUUAACUUUUAGUUUUGGUAUGUUACAUAGGCGAUACGAACAGGUUGAGUACAUCCAAAUCUUAAUUUUAGUUUCGGGGUU